AACGCACAUUGCGCCCUGUGGUAUUCCGCAGGGCAUGCCUGUUCGAGCGUCAUUAUAACCACUCAAGCCUCGCUUGGUGUUGGGGCUCGCAAUCUUGCGGCCUCUAAAAUCAGUGGCGGUGCCAGUAGGCUCUGAGCGUAGUACAUCUCCUCGCUAUAGAGUCCUAUCGGUCCCCUGCCAAAACCCCCAUAUUUUUAUAGGUUGACCUCGGAUCAGGUAGGGAUACCCGCUGAACUUAA
rnacentral:misc_RNA from 2 species